AGGACUGUAGCCCAGUGGUAGAGCACCUGCUUUCCAUGCAGAAGGUUGCAGGUUCAAUCCCCAGCAUCUGCCUGGAAACUUG